rnacentral:rRNA from 1 species
UCCGGUUGAUCCUGGCGGAGGUCAUUGCUAUCGGGGUCCGAUUUAGCCAUGCUAGUCGAACGGGUUAAGACCCGUGGCGAAUAGCUCAGUAACACGUAGAUUAACUACCCUAUGGACUGUGAUAACCUCGGAAAACUGAGGGUAAUAACAGAUAGUACUCCUACGCUGGAAUGCAGUGAGUACGAAAUGCUCCGGUGCCAUAGGAUGUGACUGCGGCCGAUUAGGUAGACGGUGGGGUAACGGCCCACCGUGCCGAUAAUCGGUACGGGUGGUGAGAGCCAGAGCCCGGAGAUGGAAUCUGAGACAAGAUUCCAGGCCCUAUGGGGCGCAGCAGGCGCGAAAACUUUACAAUGCGCGAAAGCGCGAUAAGGGGACCCCGAGUGCGAGGGCAUAACGUCCUCGCUUUUGUAUAUCGUAAGAAGAUACACGAAUAAGGGCUGGGCAAGACCGGUNCCAGCCGCCGCGGUAAUACCGGCAGCUCGAGUGAUGAUCACUAUUAUUGGGCCUAAAGCGUCCGUACCUGUCCAACAAGUCCUUCGGUAAAUCCACUCGCUCAACA